GAGAACACAGAGAGAAACAGGCAGAUUUGGUACAGAAAAACCUGAGCUUGGAAAAGCUGCCCAGACUUAGCUGAUCCAGGGGCUGCACCAUGAACUGGUGCUUGCUCUGUGUUCUUAACUGGCUGAGGAGAGGUGAGACACAGCCGUCUUGAGGCAACCACACAGAAGCUGCUGUGGAUGCCAGGAGAUCACAGCCAACAUUGCUGCAUUGCCCCAGAAAGUCCCCACCAUGUGGGGUGUACCUAGGAGGACAUGAGUGAAACAGGCACAGCCAAGAUUGUACCCAGGCCGGGGCACAGGGGAACCCAGCCCACUUUUCCUUUGAGUCUGGCAGCUCAUGUGACCAGCUGAAGAGGAUCAGGAAUCUGAGCAGGGCUAGGGAUGGAGUCCAGGACCUUGCACAUGCGAGAUGGCCACUGCGAGGUGAGAAGCGAGGGUUUCAUUGCUGCCGGGUCAUCUCUCUCAUUAACCCUGCGACUUGGUGAGGGAGGCACAGCUGGUCAUUUCAGUUUUUAACAAUAGACGCUGAUAUUGGAUUGCAGUGUGGAAACUGGCUCUUGCCAUCUUUCACUGUUAAUUGGUGGAUUUAACAACGAUGUAUAGAAACAAAACCUCUGGUCUAAAAAAUAGGCUCGGAACACUGGGCUGGUGGCUGAUAUUUUCUUCCUAACCGUGACAUUUUCAGCAGCUGAUGGACGAAGGGUUAGGAAGAGUGAGGCUGUGUUUUAUUUUAGAGAGCCUCCUCUGCUUCUCUCUGGCACCUCCUGUUCUUCAGCGUUCAUAUAAAUAAGGCCACGUAUCCUUGGGAACUCUGCAGGCUGCUCCUCCCACUGGCCCGUGCAGAGCAGAGGGCAGCCAGUGCUCGGUGGUGGAAGACACAGUUCAAUGCAGAGCGUGCUGAACACUUCUCCCGGUGGCUGCAAUUACAUCACUGGGAAUUUAUUAUUUGAGUGAAGAUUCUUUCACCUCUUGAUGCCUUGAGAGAUAUAAACCUCCAACUCAUGACUUUGGGGAAUGAGUCACAUCUCUCCCAUGUUUUGCUCCUUGGAAGGAGAGGUGAGGGCAGCGAUGAAGCUGUAAACACCAUUUCUCUGAUGUUCUAAAAGUGUAGAGAGAGAUUCUUCCGUUUAACGAGCGAUUCUCUGGCACCCAUUUCAUGACAGGUAUAGUUCAGGCAUUGAAGAAAAAAAGAAAAGAAAAGAAAAAAGAGA